GAACGCUGGCGGCGUGCCUAAUACAUGCAAGUCGAACGGUCUUUUCUAUGGAAGCUUGCUUCCACUGAGAAGAUAGUGUCGAACGGGUGAGUAACACGUGGGUAACCUGCCCAUAAGAGGGGGGAUAACAUCCGGAAACGGGUGCUAAUACCGCAUAGUUUUUCUUGAUCGCAUGAUUGAGAAAGGAAAGACGGCCUUUGUGCUGUCGCUUAUGGAUGGACCCGCGGCGUAUUAGUUAGUUGGUGAGGUAAUGGCUCACCAAGACGAUGAUACGUAGCCGACCUGAGAGGGUGAUCGGCCACAUUGGGACUGAGACACGGCCCAAACUCCUACGGGAGGCAGCAGUAGGGAAUCUUCCGCAAUGGACGAAAGUCUGACGGAGCAACGCCGCGUGAGUGAAAGAAGGUUUUCGGAUCGUAAAACUCUGUUGUCAGAGAAGAACAAGUUGGAGAGUAACUGCUCCAGCCUUGACGGUAUCUGACCAGAAAGCCACGGCUAACUACGUGCCAGCCGCCGC
rnacentral:rRNA from 1 species